AGUGAACGCUGGCGGUAGGCCUAACACAUGCAAGUCGAACGGCAGCACAGAGGAGCUUGCUCCUUGGGUGGCGAGUGGCGGACGGGUGAGGAAUACAUCGGAAUCUACUCUGUCGUGGGGGAUAACGUAGGGAAACUUACGCUAAUACCGCAUACGGCCUACGGGUGAAAGCAGGGGAUCUUCGGACCUUGCGCGAUUGAAUGAGCCGAUGUCGGAUUAGCUAGUUGGCGGGGUAAAGGCCCACCAAGGCGACGAUCCGUAGCUGGGUUGAGAGGAUGAUCAGCCACAAUGGAACUGAGACACGGUCCAGACGCCUACGGGAGGCAGCAGUGGGGAAUAUUGGACAAUGGGCGCAAGCCUGAUCCAGCCAUACCGCGUGGGUGAAGAAGGCCUUCGGGUUGUAAAGCCCUUUUGUUGGGAAAGAAAUCCAUCUGGUUAAUACCCGGGUGGGAUGACGGUACCCAAAGAAUAAGCACCGGCUAACUUCGUGCCAGCCGCCGCCGUAA
rnacentral:rRNA from 1 species